rnacentral:rRNA from 1 species
GAUGAACGCUGGCGGCGUGCCUAAUACAUGCAAGUCGAGCGAACGGACGCGACGCUUGCUUUUCUGAUGUUAGCGGCGGACGGGUGAGUAACACGUGUAUACCCUACCUAUAAGACUGGGAUCACUUGGGGAAACCGGAGCUAAUACCGGAUAAUAUUUUGAACCGCAUGGUUCAAAAGUGAAAGACGGUCUUGCUGUCACUUAUAGCUGGAUCCGCGCUGCAUUAGCUAGUUGGUAAGGUAACGGCUUUCUAAGGCAACGAUGCAUAGCCGACCUGAGGGGGUGGUAGCCGACCCUGGAACGGGGACACGGACCUGACGACUAAGGGAGGCAGCAGAAGGGAAUCGUAGGCAACAGGCGGAAGCAUUACGGAGCGGCGCGGAGCGAGUGGUAGAGACCCUGGGAGCGUAAAACUCUGUUAUUAGGGAAGAACAUAUGUGUAAGUAACUGUACACAUCUUGACGGUACCGAGUCAGAAAGCAACGGCUAACUACGUG